CACGUAGGGUGCGAGCGUUGUCCGGAAUUAUUGGGCGUAAAGAGCUCGUAGGCGGUGUGUCACGUCGGCCGUGAAAACCUGCAGCUUAACUGUGGGCGUGCGGUCGAUACGGGCAUCACUGGAGUUCGGCAGGGGAGACUGGAAUUCCUGGUGUAGCGGUGAAAUGCGUAGAUAUCAGGAGGAAUACCGGUGGCGAAAGCGACUCUCUGGACGGCAACUGACGCUGAGGCACGAAAGCGUGGGGAGCAAACAGG
rnacentral:rRNA from 1 species